UACGUAGGGUGCAAGCGUUGUCCGGAAUUAUUGGGCGUAAAGAGCUCGUAGGCGGUCUGUCGCGUCUGCUGUGAAAACUCGGGGCUUAACCCCGGGCCUGCAGUGGGUACGGGCAGACUAGAGUGCGGUAGGGGAGACUGGAAUUCCUGGUGUAGCGGUGAAAUGUGCAGAUAUCAGGAGGAACACCGGUGGCGAAGGCGGGUCUCUGGGCCGUAACUGACGCUGAGGAGCGAAAGCAUGGGGAGCGAACAGG
rnacentral:rRNA from 1 species